rnacentral:lncRNA from 1 species
AAAUGAAAAUGUAAUAUUUUAAAAGAUGUUAAUCUCCAGGUAUUAAGAACUUUAAUGUGCUUUCUUUCUUUCCAAACAGCUUUUUAAUGAAAUGAUACAAGAAAAUGGCUAUAAUUUUGAUAGAUCAUCCUCUACAUUUAGUGGCAUAAAAGAACUUGCUCGACGUUUUGCUUUAACUUUUGGACUUGAUCAGUUGAAAACAAGAGAAGCCAUUGCCAUGCUACACAAAGAUGGCAUAGAAUUUGCUUUUAAAGAGCCUAAUCCGCAAGGGGAGAGCCAUCCACCUUUAAAUUUGGCAUUUCUUGAUAUUCUGAGUGAAUUUUCUUCUAAACUACUCCGACAAGACAAAAGAACAGUGUAUGUUUACUUGGAAAAGUUCAUGACCUUUCAGAUGUCACUCCGAAGAGAGGAUGUGUGGCUUCCACUGAUGUCUUACCGAAAUUCUUUGCUAGCUGGUGGUGAUGAUGACACCAUGUCAGUCAUUAGUGGAAUCAGCAGCCGGGGGUCAACUGUGCGGAGUAAAAAAUCAAAACCAUCUACAGGAAAACGGAAAGUGGUUGAAGGCAUGCAGCUUUCACUCACUGAAGAAAGUAGUAGUAGUGAUAGUAUGUGGUUAAGCAGAGAACAAACACUGCACACCCCUGUUAUGAUGCAGACACCACAACUCACCUCCACUAUUAUGAGAGAGCCGAAAAGAUUACGGCCUGAGGAUAGCUUCAUGAGUGUUUAUCCAAUGCAGACUGAACAUCAUCAAACACCUCUUGAUUAUAACACGCAGGUAACAUGGAUGUUAGCUCAAAGACAACAAGAGGAAGCAAGGCAACAGCAGGAGAGAGCAGCAAUGAGCUAUGUUAAACUGCGAACUAAUCUUCAGCAUGCCAUUCGGCGUGGCACAAGCCUAAUGGAAGAUGAUGAAGAGCCAAUUGUUGAAGAUGUUAUGAUGUCCUCAGAAGGGAGGAUUGAGGAUCUUAAUGAGGGAAUGGAUUUUGACACCAUGGAUAUAGAUUUGGUAAGAAACUUCAUGAUUUCUGUAAGAUUUUCAAUUUAGAUCUUUUGAAAAUUAUGUUGGAUAUUUAUUAGAGUAGAGAAAUACUUACCAAGAGAAAUAAGUUUUGCAAAAAUAUUAAAUAAAAUAGUUGCCAGG